GGCUGUCUGCGUGUGUGUUUGUGUGUGGCUGUCUGCCUGUGUGUUUGUGUGUGCCUGUCGGGCAGACAGCCACAAACAAACACAGAGGCAGACAGCCACACACAAACGCACAGGCAGACAGCCACACACAAACACACACG